GGCCCAAUGGUCUAGUAGUAUGAUUCGCGCUUCGGGUUUCUGACUCGCCGCUCAGCGGUAUAAUUGCGCGAGGUCCCGGGUUCAAUUCCCGGUUGGGCCC